CCGGACUCGAAGUUAGAGAGAAGAGUGAUGCAAGCGGUCGUGAAGGGCAUGACCUUGACUCCCCUGUAGAUAAAACCAUUGUUCCACAGUUCGGAAAACACCCACCAGACGCUCUCCAUGAACCACGGGUCACACAGGAUCAAAUGCAUUGUCAUGGGAAGAUCUGAAGAACUACCUAAA